rnacentral:rRNA from 1 species
GAAUGAACGCUGGCGGCGCGCCUAAUACAUGCAAGUCGAGCGAGAAGACGUAGCAAUACGUUUGUAAAGCGGCGAACGGGUGAGGAAUACAUGGGUAACCUACCCUCGAGUGGGGAAUAACUAGCCGAAAGGUUAGCUAAUACCGCGUACGCCUCUUGGACUUCGGUUCAGGGAGGAAAGCGAUGCCGAGGGUAUCGCGCUCUUGGAUGGGCUCAUGUCCUAUCAGCUUGGGUGAGGUAACGGCUCACCAAGGCUUCGACGGGUAGCUGGUCUGAGAGGACGAUCAGCCACACUGGCACUGCGACACGGGCCAGACUCCUACGGGAGCAGCAGUAAGGAAUAUUGCGCAAUGGGCGAAAGCCUGACGCAGCGACGCCGCGUGGGGGAUGAAGGUCUUCGGAUU